rnacentral:lncRNA from 1 species
GAGGGUGUAGAAGCCCCUGGAACUGGAGUUAGAGACUGUUAAUGUGCAGCCAGUGCUCUUAACUGCUGAGCCAUCUCUCCAGUCUCUUCUAGAUAACAUUUUAAGACAGAGAUUAUACUCUUAAGUCAAGUUUGUUCCCAGCCCAAAGGAGGCAUGGGUAACUUCAGGAAGAGUUUGCAGUGUGGGCUAGGCUGGGGUCCAAGUUGUCUGGUGUUAAGAAGUAAGUGAGUCUGUUCAUUGAAACAGUGUAGGACCAACCUACAAAGUGCAAGAGAGGCAAGACAAGCAUUAGCUACCUACUGUUUUUGGCAGCUGCUUUCAUCCUUAUUUCUCCUCUGGAAGCAAGCAGUAAAGGCUGUGGAUGUCAUAGGUAAAAUGGGAGUUUCCUGUCCACUGUAUUAAUUUGUUCCUUACCCAUUAUUCUGAUUUCUCUGCACCUCAGCUGACAGUGCAGUCAGAUUUCAUGAUGUGCCUAAGCAUCCCUUGGGAGUUAAAACUUAGUGGCAUUUUCAUCUGGUUUUUCUCCUCAUAACCUUGAAUGGCUUCUGAACACUGGUGGUUAAUGAGAGUGGUACUUCCGAUCUCACAAUGGCCUUCAACAGGAAGGAUGUCUUGUAAGAAAAUUUGUGUAUGCAUGUGUUCUGCCUACAUGCAUGUGUGUUUACAUGUGGGUACGUGUGUACAUAGGGUGCACAUACAUGUGGAAGUCAGAAGCUGACAUCUGUGGCUUCUCAGCCCCUCUCUACGUACUGAGGCAAGCUCUCUCACUUGAAACCAGAAAUCCAGUCUGUGCUUCCUGCAUUUGGGGGUGACAAGUGGGCUGCCACACUUACCUGGAAUUUAAAUAGGUACUAGGGAUCUAAACUCUGGUCCUUGGGCUGGGGUAGUGUGUUACCUACUGUGCCAGACAUCAAAGAAUUAAAUUUACCUGUUGUUGGGGAAAAGUCAAGGCUGACAUCUGGUACCACCCAAAAAGGAACUGAAUGUACAGAAAGAGUUCACAUAGUUCUGACGGCUUGUGUGACUACCUUACAGGACAGAUCUAGAACUGUGACAGUAAUGGUGGAUCCACAACUUGAUUUUUGCCUGCUUCUUGCCCUGUGCUUGAAGUUGAAGGAGGGUCCACCCUGGGCCUCACAUGCCCACCAUGUUUGUAGAUAUCCUAUAUAGUCAAAACCCUAGGGCAGCUUUGAACUUCUUUGAAGUCAGUACUGAGUGAUGGGGACAGGGGAGUCACUAUAUUCCUUUGUGUUGUUCUGCCCAAUGUGACUAUAUUGAGUAAAUCUCCUUUAUUUUCUUUUUUCAGUUUUUCAAAACAUAGUCCUGGCUGUCUUGGAACUCUCUGUGUAAUCCAGGCUGGCCUCAAACUCAAGAGAUCCACCUGCCUCUGCCUCCCAAGUGAAGACAUACGCCACCACUGCCCAGCUGUUUUUGUUGUUGUUGGCUUUUUAUUUUUUAUUUUUUUGAUAUGUUUUGCCUGCUUACAUGUCUGUGUACCACCGUACUUACAGUGCCUGAGGAAGCCUGACAAGAAUGUCUAAUCUCCUGUUUAGAGUUAUAAGACAGGUGUUGACUGCUUUGUGGAUACUGGGAAAUAAGUCCAGGUCUGGAAAAGCAGCCAGUACUCUCUUAACUACUGGGUCAUCUCCAGUCCAGAAAAGCUAGAUCCUUAUGAGAGUGACCAGCAUUUGGGCUUGUCGCUCAGUGUUCUCUUCCUGCCCUAGACAGUGUGAUGUGCUGGGUUAGGUUCAUGUAACCUUUGAACUGCUCAACCUUAGGGCUUCCAAGUAAAUGUUUCUAUCUGUUCUGCAUCUGAACCCCUGGUUACAGUGACAUCUUUUAGGUACUAGUGUCCCUUCUGGUAGCAUUUAUCAGACUUAUAUAUGGUAGAGAACCUGGUAGUAGUGUUAAGUCACUACCAGAGUUCCUAGGUCCUUCUGUGUUUGUCUCAGGAGCAGUGUAUGGGUGUAUGGUCUGGACUAGAUUAGCAUGCUAAUGGGGCUCAGGAGAUGUGGCCCACUGGGCUGAUAGGACAGAAAUACAGGGCUACAAACCAGUGAGUCUGCAAUGGCACCUGUAAGACAGACAGAACUUGGAGCUGCAUAGUCUUUCUACACAGGUGACACAGUCCCUGGAGUAGGCCUUGUGCUGUCCUCUCAAGUGUGUAUGUCCUCUGUUCAUCUGUUACUCUCCUAUCAGACUCAGUACAACCCUCUUAAUAGGUCCUGCAGGCUCUGUGUGUGUGUGUGUGUGUGUGUGUGUGUGUGUGUGUGUGUGUGUGUGUGUGUGAGACAGACAGACAGACAGACAGACAGACAGUCAGUGUGACAUAGUAUAUGGCCUUGGCUUCAUGAAGAGAUGUAAUUCAUUAGUUUAUGUCAUUGGCUGAAUGAAAAAAAAAAUGUUAUUAAGAAAGGCGAUAGUGGCUCACACCUUUAAUCCCUGAAGAGGCAGGCAGAUCUCUGAGUUCAAGGAUAGCCAGAGCUACACAGAAACUUUCUUGGAGAGAGAGGGAAAAAAAGGUUGGGGGGGGGGUAGAGGUAGGGAGAAAAUGGUGUCGAAUGGUGGUGUAAUUCACAUUAUGUUUUGGAGUUGUCAUUGGUCAUUUGUCCCCAAGGCUGAGAGUACUGCAGGAGUGAUUUGUCAUGGCAUGAGCUAUAGGAGCCACAGAAGAGUAAAGCUAGAGGCAUUUCCACCUUCCUGAAGGUCCUGAUCUGCUAGGCUGGUUGGCCCCAACUUGUCUUGUCCCUGUGGACCUGCCAUUUGGCAAGGGUGGUAUGGUGUCCCAGAGAGUACUGCUUUGGGGGUUCAGGGAGUUGCUGACAUAACUGGUGAAGUGAGUCACCAUAGCUCCUGGCUGGCAAGUUCAGCUCAGAGUCCAGGUCCUUAAAAGUAGUCAGAGGUCAUUUUUCAUCUGCAGAUUCAUUCUAGAUGAAGUCAUUUCUUGUGUGAGUGGAUAAGCUGCCCUGACUGUAGGCAAGAAGAAUAAGAUAUAUUGCUUCUUACUAUAGUGUUCCCAAAGAUUUCUUGUGGAGUAGUAAGUGAAGUUCUUCCACCUAGAUAUGUCAGUGGCAUUCCUGUUAUUCUUACAGAUCUGCAGCAUCGGAGAUUGGCUUUUGGCCCAGGUGUGGUCAGAGCAGCCAGCCAUCUGACAGACCAAAAUGACUUGUCUAUGAUUCUUGGGUGGCAGCAGACACAAUUUGUUGGCUUUAGGUUGUCCCUAUGCCUAUAGGCCACCUAAGUGACUCAUUCCUCGGCUCCCUGUGAAACUCUUGCAUACCCCUCCCAUCUCAGUUAACAAAGAGAUUGAGUCACGGAGAGCUAGCCAGGCUUCUCAGUCCACAGCUUCUCUACCCAGCACAGAACCUGGUCAUGCUUGGUUGUAUCAGGCUCUAUUU